UACGGGGGGGGGCAAGCGUUGUUCGGAGUUACUGGGCGUAAAGGGCUCGUAGGCGGCCAACUAAGUCAGACGUGAAAUCCCCAGGCUCAACCUGGGAACUGCGUCUGAUACUGGUUGGCUUGAAUCCGGGAGAGGGAUGCAGAAUUCCAGGUGUAGCGGUGAAAUGCGUAGAUAUCUGGAGGAAUACCGGUGGCGAAGGCGGCAUCCUGGACCGGCAUUGACGCUGAGGAGCGAAAGCUAGGGGAGCAAACGGG
rnacentral:rRNA from 1 species